AGAGUUUGAUCCUGGCUCAGAUUGAACGCUGGCGGCAUGCCUUACACAUGCAAGUCGAACGGCAGCGCGGGGCAACCUGGCGGCGAGUGGCGAACGGGUGAGUAAAUAUCGGAACAUACCCUAGAGGUGGGGAUAACGUAGCGAAAGUUACGCUAAUACCGCAUACGCACUAAGGUGGAAAGUGGGGGAUCUUCGGACCUCAUGCUCAUGGAGUGGCCGAUAUCUGAUUAGCUAGUUGGUGAGGUAAAGGCUCACCAAGGCGACGAUCAGUAGCUGGUUUGAGAGAACGACCAGCCACACUGGAACUGAGACACGGUCCAGACUCCUACGGGAGGCAGCAGUGGGAAUUUUGGACAAUGGGGCAACCCUGAUCCAGCAAUGCCGCGUGAGUGAAGAAGGCCUUCGGGUUGUAAAGCUCUUUUGUCAGGGAAGAAACGGUGAGGGCUAAUAUCCCUUGCUAAUGACGGUACCUGAAGAAUAAGCACCGGCUAACUACGUG
rnacentral:rRNA from 1 species